UCUGGUUGAUUCUGCCAGUGACAUAUGCUUCUCUCAAAGAUUAAGCCAUGCAUGUGCAAGUGCAAGCUAUUUUUAUGGUGAAACCGCGGAAGGCUCAUUAUAUCAGUCAUGGUUCAUUGGAUUGUACCCAGUUACUUGGAUAACUGCGGAAAUACUGGAGCUAAUACAUGCCAACGGAGUUCUGACCGGAGACGGGAGGAACGCUUUUAUUAGAUCAAAACCAAUCGUUGGCUUCGGCCUUCGUGUUUUUGGUGACUCUGAAUAACUUUGUGCAGAUCGCAUGGCCUCGCGCCAGCGACGCAUCUUUCAAAUGUCUGCCCUAUCAACUUUCGAUGGUAAGUUCUAUGCUUACCAUGGUUGUAACGGGUAACGGGGAAUCAGGGUUCGAUUCCGGAGAGGCAGCCUGAGACACGGCUACCACAUCCAAGGAAGGCAGCAGGCGCGCAAAUUACCCACUCCCGGCACGGGGAGGUAGUGACGAAAGAUAACAAUACGGGACUCAUCCGAGGCCUCGUAAUUGGAAUGGCAACACUUUAAAUCCUUUAUGGAGUAUCUAACUGAGGGCAAGUCUGGUGCCAGCAGCCGCGGUAAUUCCAGCUCAGUUAGCGUAUAUCAAAGUUGUUGCGGUUAAAAAGCUCGUAGUUGGAUCUGCGUCUCGCACGGCUGGUUCACCGCCCGUCGGUGCUAACUGGUUCGUCGGGAUGUCAUGCCGGAGGCGCGUCAGCUACCCCUGCGGGGCGUGGGGGCGGUGCCCGUUGAAAUCCUGCUCUGGUGCUCUUCACUGAGUGUCGAGGUGGGCCGGCACGUUUACUUUGAACAAAUUAGAGUGCUCAAAGCAGGUCAAGUGAUGGCCUUGAAUAUUUUUGCAUGGAAUAAUGGAAUAGGACUUCGGUCCCAUUUUGUUGGUUUUAAGGACCUGAAGUAAUGAUAAAUGGAGACAGGCGGGGGCAUUCGUAUUGCUACGUUAGAGGUGAAAUUCUUGGAUCGUAGCAAGACGGACUGAAGCGAAAGCAUUUGCCAAGGAUGUUCUCGUUGAUCAAGAACGAAAGUUUGGGGCUCGAAGGCGAUCAGAUACCGCCCUAGUCCAAACCAUAAACUAUAUAGACUGGUCCUCUGAGGGAUGUCCAUUGAUGCAUCCUCAGGUAGCCUCCGAGAAAUCAAAGUUUUUGUAUUCCGGGGGAAGUAUGGUUGCAAAGCUGAAACUUAAAGAAAUUGACGGAAGGGCACCACCAGGAGUGGAGCCUGCGGCUUAAUUUGACUCAACACGGGAAAUCUUACCAGGCCCAGACACUGGAAGGAUUGACAGAUUGAAAGCUCUUUCUUGAUUCAGUGGGUGGUGGUGCAUGGCCGUUCUUAGUUGGUGGAGUGAUUUGUCUGCUUAAUUGCGAUAACGAACGAGACUCUAACCUGCUAAAUAGACGUACCCGGCUUCCAAGGCAGCCGGCGGUACUAAAUCUUCUUAGAGGGACAGGCGGCUCUUAGCCGCACGAGAUUGAGCAAUAACAGGUCUGUGAUGCCCUUAGAUGUUCUGGGCCGCACGCGCGCUACAAUGGAGGUGUCAGCGUGUCCUCCCUGGCCGAAAGGUCUGGGUAACCCGCUGAAACGCCUUCUUACUAGGGAUUGUGGCUUGAAAUUGUACCACAUGAACGAGGAAUUCCCAGUAAAGGCGUGUCAUCAGCACGCCUUGAUUACGUCCCUGCCCUUUGUACACACCGCCCGUCGCUACUACCGAUUGAAUGUUUUAGUGAGGUCUUUGGACCGGCGCGCGGAGUUCCUUCGGGAACACCGAUGCCGCUGGGAAGAUGCCCAAACUUGAAUAUUUAGAGGAAGUAAAAGUCGUAACAAGGUUGCUGUAGGUGAACCUGCAGCAG
rnacentral:rRNA from 1 species